GCGGUCUUAUACGAAUCGACAAAUCACCAUGGAGUUGCUCCACAUUCUAUGUCAAUAAUUUUACCAAAAUUGAACGAGGGGCUUAAAGGAUCGAUAUCAAUUACAAACCUCUCAAUGAAGCUUUUCAAUGGAUAAGAUAUCCAUUACCUUAAAAGAAGAUAUGUUAAAUAGAUAAUUCAAAACGGCUAUUUUCUUAAAAUUUGACAUGAAGUUAGGAUUCUAGCAAAUUCAAAUUAAAGAAGAAGACAGAUAUAAAAUUACCUUCAGUGUUCUUUUUGGUGCUUCCUUAGAAUUUCAAAAAUCAUGAAUGAUAUUUUCAAUCCUUUUAAAAAUUUUAUAAUAAUUUACAGUGAUGAUGUUCUAAUUUAUUCUGAAAGUUUAGAAAAUCAUUUCAAACAUCUUAAUACAUUCAUUCAUAUGGUCAUGAAAAAUGGACUAAUAGUUUCUGCUAAGAAAUUCUUUCUUUGUCAAACACACAUUAGGUUUCUAGGGCACAAUAUUCAUCUAGGAACCAUUAUCCCAAUUCAAAGAAGUCAAGAUUUUACAAACAAAUUUUUUGAUGAAAUCUUGGAUAAAUCUAGCCUGAAGCGAUUUUUAGGCUAAAUCAAUUACGUUACUUUUUUAAAAAUAUAAGGGUGAUAUGUAUUCCACUUUUCAAAGACUGCAAAAAAUCAUGUUCCCUGGAGUCACAAGCAUACUUUAGCUAGACAAAAAGUUAAAGAUGCUGUCAAAAGCAUCUCAUGCCUUUCAAUUAUCGAUCCUUUAGCCUCUAUUAUUGUCGAGAAGGUACGUACAAAAUAUUAUACUGAACUUGUCAAGUUGGAUGAAGGAAAAAUGUUUGUGGAAGAUGCCAUAUACUAGAGCGAAUUUAAAAGGUAGGCAUAGGAUUCACUUGAAAAGUUGGAAAAGAAAGACUUGCCAUCAUCUGUGAAUUUAAAUUAUGAAUCACCCAUUCAACUCAAGGAGAUAUUAACUAUUGAAGAAGAAUAUAUAGAGGAUGACAAAGUAAUUACAAAGGAAUCAAAUGAAGAAGUGGCAAUUAUUGAAGAUGAAAUUAACACAGGUUCUUUUGACUUCAUUGAUUGCCAAUAAUUAAAUUUGUGAUUAAGCUCGAGGAAGAAGUAGAAGUCUACAUAGUUGAGUUUGAAUUGGAUUGAAUGAGCAAGUAAUAUUACAUUGAAGAAUGCAAGAUAAAGAUUUAGAGAAUCAAUGAAAAGUGGAGCAAAGUUAAAAGAAGCAAGAUUACUUUCUUCAAAAUUUCAUGAUACAGAUUUUUAAAAAUUGAAAUCAAGCUAAUGACUAUAAACAAACACUUAUUGGUAAGCCAAUUUUCUUUCUUUUUAUUUAUUGUACUUUCUAGAUAUUAAAGCAGGUAAUUUUUAUUGCUUUUGUGUGCUAGGUAAUAGCUUAUAUUUCUUCAUCCCCAUAUUUCCCUAUAGGUUGCGAUGUGUUUGAGCUCAAUAUGAAUUAUUUCAUAUUAUCAUUGAUUGAUUUCUCU
rnacentral:lncRNA from 1 species